rnacentral:lncRNA from 1 species
AUAUGAAUACAAAAUCUCUAUAAUUUUAUAAUUUACCAAAACAUAUGGUAAACAAUUCAACAACUUAAAUAUAAUAUUGAAAACAGGAAAAUGUUUUAUUAAAGGGACAUCUCUCUUAACAGAGAAUCAACGCCCCACUGGUCAUUAACAGAGAAACCACGCCCCAGCGGUCAUUAACAGAUGGAAACCACGCCCCAACGGUAAUUAACAGACGGAAACCACGCUCCAUCGGUCAUUAUCAUGUGAAAAUCCGAUAACGACCGGUUUUCUGGUCCGUUUCAUUCUGUUAAUGACCAAUGGAAUUUAUUACUGAAGAAUAAUGAAUGUCAUGUGGUCCCUUUUUAUCCAAUAAGAGAAGCUUAUUCUCAACCGAUAUGAAAUAAAUAUAAAUA